GAUCAAUUGCAGGAUCCCAGAGCAAGGCCAGAACCCCGUAUGUAGAACUUCUCGCGAGCUCCCACGAGAUGUGGACGACAUAAAGGAAGUCCGGACGCCCUGGGAACCUCGCUGUGGUGAAUUCCCAUAUCCUUCGUUGUGUUUCUCAGACGCAGCGUGUACUUUUAUUUUUGCUUUUAUCUUCUUUUUCUCCUGUUCUGCCCACGUUCUCUCUGCAGAGUUAGUUUCUCCCAUAUCCAUUCAGCCAGCACUUUUCAAAUAAACUUUUUGGCCACAUUUUUGGCUUGUCUCAUCCAAUUCUUUGUUCCAGGCAAGAAGGACCUGGACUACUUUGGAUUGGCGAACCAUUGCUAAAGGAACUACCAGACAACAGAGGCACUGAACAGAUACUAUUUGCCAGAAAGAUUUCACCUCUUUGAGUACUGAAGACUUUCGUUUCAUAAGAUUAAAUUUAAUGCCAGAUCUGCUAGCCUCUGGAAUAGCAUAUCAGAGGGGCCAGGAGAAGACCUAUGGCUCAAUAUCACUGCAAACUGGAGCGACGAAUCUGAGAGCGAAGCAAAGAUAUUAUAGCUUGAGCUUCGAAAAGAAGACGAGAUGUAAAUUCUUUACUGGAACUGGAGGAAAAAGAGAUGCACAUCAGGAAACAGCUGAUAAUGUGAAUCUGGAGUAUGAUCCAACAAGAGCAAGGGUUUGCCUUUAACCAAGUCAGAAAGGACCCAGUCUUUGUGGUAGGAAACUCAGAGGCAGGGAAGACUCCAGGAGGUCCUUCCAGCAGAGGUCAGCAGGCCCAGCAUCCAGGAGGCCAGGGGAUCAGGAGACACCCAAGAACUCUGGGGAUCAAACUCAGGAUGUUGUGUUUGUCAGGCAGAUGCAGUGCCACUGAGCUACAUCCCCAGCCCCAAGAAUGGCUUUUCUCUAAGAAGAUGUACACUGAAGAUUUUAGGGAUAAAGGGACAUAUGAGUUAUGAUUGCAAAAUACAGUGAAUGUUUGAACUGAAAAAAUAAUUAUUACAGUAAAAAACACAUGGCCAUUAAUCUUCUCCAAAAUUCUCCCCCUUACUUCAAACACUCUGAGUCCAUCAUUCUUGACAUUUUCUGAAGCAGCUCUGGAAGUCCUCUUUUGUGACUGUCUUUAGUUGAGCUGUCCUGGCUGCCUUGAUGUGCUGAGUCAAUUCUAAAUGUGUUUACCUUUCAUGGUCAUUUUGACUUUGUGGAAGAGCCAGAAGUUCUAGAGGCCAGAUCAGGUGAAUCAGGCGGCUGAGGAAUCACUGCCAUGUUUUUAGAAGCCUGCCUUUCCACUGCAUGGUACUUGGCAGCAGCAUUCACUGUAUGUUUAAAUUGUAUCUUGUGAAGACACUCAUGAAAGGGGAUUUCCAGAACUGCUUCCAAAAGUGGCAAGAAUGGUGGGAUAAAUGAGGAGGGUUAAUGGCAAUAUGUCUUCUGCUGUAAUAAUUUUUUAAAAGUUUAAACAUUCACUGCAUAUUUUGAUCACAUCUCGUGAUAUCUUCACCUUAUAAAUGUUAAGGGAAUGAAAGACAACAAAUGGAAAAAUAGGGAAACAGUAAAUCUGGGUAAAGGAUAUGUGGGAAUUCUUUGUCCUACUUAUUUUUAUACCUUUUCUGUGCAUUUGAAAUUAUAUCAAAAAUAAGAUUAAAAAAUAAUGACAGAAUUCUUUACUUAAAAUGGUGAGAUAUUUUGUGGAGUGAUGUUUUAGUAUAGAAGGUAUUUUCCUCACUUACUUGAAUUCACUGUUAAAAAUCUGCUUCUUUGCCCACAGAAGGAAAUAAUACCUAGUAACACUACUGCAUCCUGACAUUUAAUAUUAAGCUUAAUUUGGGAACAGAACAUGGAAAAAGGAUGCAGGAUAUGUCAAGUUUCUGGCAUUUCGAGGACCAGGGAACUGCUAAUGGUGACAUCACUGCAAAUGAGUUACAGAGAUUGUCCUCAUUUCAAAGACCACAGAGUUAGAAGCCUUAAAUGAAUCAUUCUUAUUUUUUCUUUCUCACAGAAAACAUCAUUAUGGUAACAACUUGAAAAUAAGCGGUCUUUGCAUUUGAAAUUCAGUGUGAUGCCUGCUGGGGAACUGCAAAGGGCUCUCCCAGCCCCAGCUCUGUUCCAACAGCAAGGCUGAUAGAGUCAAUUUCAGGCUGCAUCUGAGGCUAUAGAUUGAGAAGAUUUCCCCAAACUGUCUAAUUAUCUGCUUCUCUUCUUUGGAAAGAAACGUUGUGCAAGUAAAAUCAAGAACUUCUCUUAACAUAAGCGUUGCUGCUCAUUGCUAUGAAUUGAGGUUUUAUUUUAAUAUUGUGCAUGGGGACGUAUGAGAACUGGUGGUCUUUGUCAGGUUUGGGAUUCUUUGAAAACCCAAGCAAAUAUGUGGAAAAAUCAGAGUCAAAUGUCAGACAU
rnacentral:lncRNA from 1 species